rnacentral:tRNA from 1 species
GAGGUUGUAACUCACUGGUAGAGUGCGUGCUUAGUGUGCACGAGGUCCUAGGUUCAAUCCCUGGUAACUCCA